rnacentral:piRNA from 1 species
UAGCACAUAAAAAGGCAGUGAAGUGAC